AUGCUCAUUUUGACAGUACAAAUACUGUAAUUGGAAUGAUACAGAGAUUGGCAUGGCCCCAGUGCAAAGAUGACCUGCAAAUUUGCGAAGUGUUCCAUAUUUAA
ensembl:snRNA U6 U6 spliceosomal RNA